GCUCGACAAGGAAAUGAAAUCUUUUUUGUUUGAACUUUUUGAUGAAAAGAUCGGAGGUAAUAAAAAAAGGGAAAAACAUCUGCCUGGCACACAACAAACCCAUUUCCUGGUCCUCUGGCAUAGUUCAGCAAUUACAGAUGGUCAAUGAAAGGAUAGUCCUCACAAAGUAGGAGUGCACGUUGUUUUAGGCCGCAGUCAGCCAUACUCCAGCCAUGUCACGUCUGCCUGCAUACAGUCUACUAUGGACAUGGCCACCCAGGGGGUGCAACCAUCCAAUCCUCAUUAGUGAUUAGCCCUGGACGCCCCCCGAGGGCACACAGUAUGAGGAUAAGUUAGUACUAUUUGGACAUUAGUGGGCUGUGCCCCACUGCAACAUACUGUGGUUAUUACAUAGGGUGGACACAGACAUAUUAGAAGUUCAGUGGUACACAGAAGCAAAGUCUCCACACAGGCAAACCAGGGUUACCUUCUGGAAUUUCUAGUGGGGAAAUAAACAAAUAAACAAUUGAAUAAAGACAAUAAAAAUAGGGCGUGAAUAAUCAGAUCUGAAGGAAGUUCAUCAAAGUGAAGUCGGGAUAGGCAACAUUGUAUUUACCCAUUUUACUAGCUGCUUGUCAAAUGUGAAUAAAGUGGGUUGAAAAGACAAUUUGUCAUGAUUCAAACUGUGUCAUAUGAAAAGAGAUGCUACUCUCCUACAUCUUUCUGUAUGAGAGUUAAUGUAUCUAGAAGAAGAGUGGUCAUGUUAUUGCUAUGAAAGGUGCUGACAACACAGACACCUGCCAUAU